UACAGAGGUCCCAAGCGUUUGUUCGGAUUCACUGGGCGUAAAGGGUGCGCAGGUGGGCUGAUAAGUUCGAUGUGAAAGCCCCGGGCUUAACCCGGGAAUGGCAUUGGAAACUGUUGGUCUGGAGGGUUGGAGGGGGGGACUGGAAUUCCUGGUGUAGCGGUGAAAUGCGCAGAUAUCAGGAGGAACACCAACAGCGAAGGCAGCACUCUGGGCCGGUACUGACGCUGAGGAGCGAAAGCAUGGGGGAGCGAACAGG
rnacentral:rRNA from 1 species